UCUUUUUAAUUUAAAAAUUCAUGGAUGUGUGUUUUGUGUUGAUUGAUUUUUUUGAUAUCAUAAAGAUACAUUGCUAAUUGUGCAUUAAGAAACAGGGUAAAGUAGGUGUUUCAAUAUGUCCAAAGGAUUUUGCAAGACUAAAUUCUUGUGGGAUAAGAGAAAAUGCCACUCUCCCUCCGUUUCAAUUUGUUUGUCUUACUUUCCUUUUUAGUCUUUUUAAAAAAGAAUGUCACUUUUUAUAUUUAGCAACUCUUAACACCCAACAUCUUACAUGGCAUAUUAAAUACCACAAGAUUAAAAAGGCAGCCCGGUGCACUAAGCUCCCGCUAUGCGCGGGUACGGGGACAUUUUGAUACCACAAGAUUUUAAGGAUAUUUUGGUACAUUACACACAUCUUUAGUUUAAGACCACAAGAUUCAAGAGUCGUCUUUAUUUUUUUAAACUGAAACCAAGACAAACAAUUAAGUGUUUUUACUGUGGAGUUUCUGCUCGUUACACGUGUUUGAUAAGCUAAUCUCUUUCUUAGAAGUCAGUUUCUGAAUAUUUACAAUGGGCUAUGUUUCCCCAAUGGCUACACUAGUCAAUAUGAGUCUUCUGAUAUACAAGAGUAAUUAAUUCCGUCAGCAAAGGGUGGCGUUCACUUGAUGCUUCCCUUUGUUAAAGUAAUGGUUAUAUUUCUAAGUUCAGUCACUUCAAUGUUUCUGCUGAGAGAUGCUUACAGUUUUCAUAUUUAUUUGGGGAAGUGAUAAGGUGUAGGCUGGUUGCACUGAUUUAACUGGAGAAGUCUUCCAUCUAGGUUUCCUAGUUUAAGCUAUUUUUUAACUGUUAUUGUGAAACCUUACAAGUGGAGUCCCUCUUCAUAUAAGAGUAAUAUACUUAGUCUUCAGUAGUUUGGACGGCACAUUUGUUGUAUAGGAGGAGGACUUGCCUCUUGUAAGGGACACUUGGGUGUAUUCACAACUUGCCUGUUCUUGUGAAGAACUAAUGAGGGAAACAAUGUUUCCAAUGAAGUACAAUACAAAUGACAGUAUAGGAAGUAUUCUUUAUCAGAAGCAUAUAUAUAUCACUGUUCUUUUUCAGGAAAAAAAAAAUCUUCUUCAUAAAUAUUUUGGAGUUUACUUUCAUUGUUGGAUAUAGCAUGUUUUCAUAUCCUAAUCUAAAACUAGUGUCCUCAGUUCAAUUUCAGUUGCUUGUCUUCCUUUUAAAAAACAGUCACAUCUCUUGGUGGUCUCACUGCUAGAUUCAGGACUUAGUGCUAUUGGGGCCGGGGGGGGGGGGGGGGGGGGUGUUGUGUGGGCAAGAACAAAAGAAAUGAAAUGAAGCAUAGUCUGAGGUAUAGAUUUGCUUUUAUGUAUAUUUUACUAGGAAAAAACAUACUUCUAGUGCAAGUUGUUUUCCAUUUCAAUUUUAUACAUGCAUGUUACGCCUCAUACUUUUCUCACAUGCUAAGAGAACCCCUAUAAUGUGGUAUUGGCAUGGGUUCCAUUGACUCCCUUUUCUGUAUAUCGUGGCACUUUAUUUGUUCUGUUUAUUUUUUCUUGCUAAUUUGCUAUCAAUCGGCAGUCUCUUUAUAUGAUAUAUAUUUUUGUCUUGCAUAACCAUCUUAAGGUUGCCUUUACGUCUGUAUUUUCCGUCUUUUGAAUAUGGUGUCUUGUAACAUCUAUUUCCCACCUUUUUUUUUAUCUCUCAAGACUAACAUGUCUUCCGCUUUAUGACCAUGUCUUUGACAUAAAAAGACGGUGGCAGAAGAAUGGAUGAGAUGAGGGAAGAAAAACAAGUGAGCUAUGAACCAGCAGAGAACACCUUCUCGUCGCUCAAGAUUAUUUUAAAGCUUGUUGUCCAAGUAGAAUCUAGUUUGAUUUUGACAUCUUACAAAGACCUAUAACCGAAUUGUUACUGGAGUUCAACUUCCUUUUCAUGAGAAUCUAUUACAAAUAAACUGGAAAUUUCAUAUUCUGGCAGAUUGUUUCA